rnacentral:lncRNA from 1 species
GUAAGAGAGGAAAGAAGAGAGGAACUUUGACCCUAAUGAUAGCCAAGCACCUACGCCAUACAAUUGGCCCAUAAAAGAGCUACGACUGAAAUCCAGAAUGCUGUGUCAUCUUGGAGCCAGAGAAAAAUGGGGGAAGAAAAUAUGCAGACAUCGGUACAUCUGACGCCAGCCAGGCAGAAUCUUUUCUUCAGCAAACCUUGCUGCCCAGAGAAAAACAGCCACUCUCAACAGAAAAAGAGGAAUACAAGCAAGGAACAAGAGUGAAUGGGAGAAGAAACACAGGAGCCAUUUUACAAUUCAUCACGUCCUGUGCAGGUGGUCCAUGGCUCUGGUCCAUGUUAUCUGCAUUCUGGGAUCCAGCCUAAGGGAGCAUAUCUGAAACAUUCCAGUCUCUUGACAAAAGUACAUGGACCAAGUGAAGAUGCCCUGCUAUAUAAAUGGAAGAUGCUGACUUCAGUGAAAACAUCUGAUAGGAAUAGAAGACUUUGCCUGAGUCCAGGUUGCACAAAACCCACCACCUUUCACCUCUUUCCUCUUCUCUAUUCUCAUUCUAUGUGGCAUAGGCUUCAUCUCUCAGCUCUAGGGGAACAAUAUUUAACCAAAAAUGACCAGUAAAACUACCCGUGCCUCCUAGGAGACCCUCAC